rnacentral:rRNA from 1 species
CCUACGGGUGGCAGCAGUAGGGAAUCUUCCACAAUGGGCGAAAGCCUGAUGCAGCAACGCCGCGUGGGUGAAGAAGGUCUUCGGAUCGUAAAACCCUGUUUUUAGAGAAGAAAGUGCCUGAAAGUAACUGUUCAUGUUUCGACGGUAUCUAACCAGAAAGCCACGUCUAACGACGUGCCAGCAGCCGCGGUAAUACGUCGGUGGCAAGCGUUAUCCGGAUUUGUUGGGCGUAAAGGGAGCGCAGGCGGUCUUUUAAGUCUGAUGUGAAAGCCUUCGGCUUAACCGGAGUAGUGCAUUGGAAACUGGGCGGCUUGAGUGCAGAAGAGGAAGGCGGAACUCCAGGUGUAGCGGUGAAAUGCGUAGAGAUCUGGAGGAACACCAGUGGCGAAGGCGGCCUUCUGGUCUGUAACUGACGCUGAGGUUCGAAAGCGUGGGUAGCAAACAGGAUUAGAUACCCUGGUAGUC